rnacentral:rRNA from 1 species
UACGAAGGGGGCUAGCGUUGCUCGGAAUCACUGGGCGUAAAGGGUGCGUAGGCGGGUCUUUUAAGUCAGGGGUGAAAUCCUGGAGCUCAACUCCAGAACUGCCUUUGAUACUGCGGGUCUCGAGUCCGGGAGAGGUGAGUGGAAUUCCUAGUGUAGAGGUGAAAUUCGUAGAUAUUAGGAAGAACACCAGUGGCGAAGGCGGCUCACUGGCCCGGUACUGACGCUGAGGCGGCGAAAGCGUGGGGAGCAAACAGGG